rnacentral:rRNA from 1 species
UGGAUCAGUGGCGAACGGGUGAGUAACACGUGAGCAAUCUGCCCCUGACUCUGGGAUAAGCGCUGGAAACGGCGUCUAAUACCGGAUACGAGCUGCGGCCGCAUGGUCGGCAGUUGGAAAGAUUUUUCGGUCAGGGAUGAGCUCGCGGCCUAUCCGCUUGUUGGUGAGGUAAUGGCUCACCAAGCGUCGACGGGUAGCCGGCCUGAGAGGGUGACCGGCCACACUGGGACUGAGACACGGCCCAGACUCCUACGGGAGGCAGCAGUGGGGAAUAUUGCACAAUGGGCGGAAGCCUGAUGCAGCAACGCCGCGUGAGGGAUGACGGCCUUCGGGUUGUAAACCUCUUUUAGCAGGGAAGAAGCGAAAGUGACGGUACCUGCAGAAAAAGCGCCGGCUAACUACGUGCCAGCAGCCGCGGUAAUACGUAGGGCGCAAGCGUUAUCCGGAAUUAUUGGGCGUAAAGAGCUCGUAGGCGGUCUGUCGCGUCUGCUGUGAAAUCCCGAGGCUCAACCUCGGGUCUGCAGUGGGUACGGGCAGACUAGAGUGCGGUAGGGGAGAUUGGAAUUCCUGGUGUAGCGGUGGAAUGCGCAGAUAUCAGGAGGAACACCGAUGGCGAAGGCAGAUCUCUGGGCCGUAACUGACGCUGAGGAGCGAAAGGGUGGGGAGCAAACAGGCUUAGAUACCCUGGUAGUCCACCCCGUAAACGUUGGGAACUAGUUGUGGGGUCCAUUCCACGGAUUCCGUGACGCAGCUAACGCAUUAAGUUCCCCGCCUGGGGAGUACGGCCGCAAGGCUAAAACUCAAAGGAAUUGACGGGGACCCGCACAAGCG